GCAGGGUAGAUUUGGUCUCUGUACUGUAGUUCACUGACCCCUGAUCUAAAAGAUUACAUACUUUGAAAACAGCAAUGCCAAACCUUGAAUCCAGGUCCGAUAUUUUCCAGCAAUCGUGAUGCUUCUCUGAUCAACUGAAUGAAACAGUUAUAAAUGUACUGGCUAAAUUUAGCUUUAUGCACUUGUUUUGUCCCCUAUUACAGUAUAAACUUUUGGUGAAUAGGGAUUUUCAAAUUAAUUAAAGCGCUUAUUUUUAUACCCAAUACACACAAAUACAGAACUUUACUAUAGCAGAUUUUUGACCCCAAUUUAGUGUGCUAUCUGAAUAAAAGGCUUAGUAACUAAAAAAAGUGCUGUCUUAGAUUUCUGAACUAUUUUUUUUUUUUUUUUUUUUUUUUGGAGACAGAGUCUUGCUCUGUCACCCACACCAGAAUGCAGUGGCACCAUCAUGGCUCCCUGCAGCUUUGACCUCCUGGGUUCAAACGAUUUUCUCAUCUCAGCCUCCCCAGUAGCUGGGACUACAGAUGCGCACCACCACACCUGGCUAAUGUUAAUUUUCUGUGGAGACAGGGUCUUGUCAUGUUGCCCAGACUGGUCUUGAACUCCGGAGCUCAAGCGAUCCUCUUGCCUCGGCCUUCCAACAUGCUGGGAUUACAGGCGUGAGCCAGCAUGCCUGGCUGAAACUAUUUUUACAGAGAACUUAGGUGGUGAUAUGGUUUGGCUCUGUCCCCACCCAAAUCUCAUCUUGAAUUAUAGCUCCCAUAAUCCCCACCUGUCACGGGAGGGACCUGAUGGGAGGUAAUUGAAUCAUGGGGGUGGGUUUUCCCAUGCUGUUCUUGUCCAUAGUGAGUAUGUCUCGGAAGAGCUAAUGGUUUUAUAAAAGGGAGUUCCCCUGUGCAAGCUCUCUUGCCUGCUGCCAUAUAAGAUGUGCCUUUUCUCCUCCUUUGCUGUCCACCAUGAUUGUGAGGCCUCCCCAGGCAUGUGAGACUGAGUCCAUUCAACUUCUUUUUCUUUAUAAAUUACCCAGUCUCAGGCAUGUCCUUCUAGCAGUGUGAGAAUGGACUAAUACAGAUGGCCUUAUCCUGUUUUUCCACAGAGCUAUCUGAGGUACUAUAUAAUCAUCAAAAAGAAUAAGGCAAUUCUAUAGGUAUUAAUGUAGGAUUAGAGCUAAAAUACUAUGCUGAGAAAAAAGUAAGCUACAACAGUUUGUUUCCAUCUAUUAAAAAUGAGGAUGGGGAUAUAUAUGUAUGUAUGAGUAAAUGAUUGGACAGCUUAAAUUAUUUUUGAGAGAAUAUUCAAUAAAACAGUAAAAAUAGCUGUUUCUGGGAAAGGAAAAUGGGUAAUUAGGGCUACAGCUGGAAAAAAGUAACAUUUUACUUCUAGUUGUUUUUUUUUUUUUUUUUUUUUUUUUUUUUUUUUUUUUUUACAAAUCACCUAUAUGUAUUAGCUUUCAAAAGAUUUAAAAAUUAAAAAUACUAGAUUGUCAGCGUCUGAAGUGAUAAAAUACUUUAUGCUGGUGCCUCCUCAGUAACAGACAUUCAAAACUACAGUCAGCCCUCAGUGUUCAUGUGGUCUGAAUCCAACCACAGAUAGAAAAUAUUUGAAAAAACUUUUUUUGGUGGGGCACAGUGGCUCACACCUGUCAUCCUAGCACUUUGGGAGGCUGAGGUGGAGGACUGCUUGAGCCCAGGAGGUUGAGGCUGCAAUGAGCUGUGACUGUGCCUCUGCACUGUAGCCUGGUGACAGAGUGAGACCCUGUCUCAAAUAAACAAUGUUUAAAACACAGACACACACGGUAUAACAGCUAUUUAUGCAGCAUUUAUGUUGUGCUAGGUAUCUGUAACCUGGAGAUGAUUUAAAGGGUAAGGAAAGAUGUGUGCAGGUUCUAUGCAAAUAUUAUACCACUGUAUAGCAGGGACUUGAGCAUCUGUGAAUUUUGUAUCCUCAGGGGUGGGGGGAGGGGGUCCUGGAACCAAUCUCCCUUGGAUACCAAGGGACGACUGCACUUCACUGACCUUGUUGAAAGCAACUGACAUCACACACACCAAUGAGUGCAUGUAAAAGCAGUAAAAUUGGAAUAGGUUCUGUGGCUAGGGGAAGCUCAACGGUACUUUGUCAGCUGUGAUGCUGCUCUACAGUGAUGGGGGAUGCUACCACUGGGGAAACUGAAGGGCACGCAGGCCUCCCUGUACGUUCUGUUGCAACUUUCUCUGAGUCUGUAAUUAUUUCUAAAUAAAAGGCUAAAACAAAACCACAACUAUGCCAUGUAAAGGCUCACAUCCAAGUCUUUGCCGGCUUUCCUUGG
rnacentral:lncRNA from 10 species